AAUACCAUCACACCCACUAAACCAUAUGGUGAGGUGCCAUGUCUACUCAUUUCGUGGACACUUUGGCUCUUGCAGGGCUAUCCAGAGCUCCUACAUCAAAGAAGGAGGACAAAACCUAUGUAUAAAAGGGUGUCUACAUGCUGGCUGUAGAUGUUACACAACCAAGCAGGGAGUAGAGGCAAGGAAAGAGCUGUGCAAUCUUGACUGCAUGGGAACUGGGAGCAGGAGGCUUCCCAAGGUCAUGCUUCAACAUGAGACUUGAAAAUCUUACAUGACAGCAAAUAGUGGGACAAUCUGCUACUUCAUGGAUCAUAAAGUAUUAUCUACUGCAGGAUUCGGAAAUUACUUGUUUUAUACUAUUGUUGUGGUUUUAUUUUGCAUCAGUCUCUACAAGUUGUUGCUGCAUAAUUGUUGAGAACCAUUCACUGGCAAAUAAUACUGCU